AUUUUGACCACCCUGAAUAUUUUAUUUUGCACCUUGACCCCUUGACACCCAAAGUCUGAAACUCCACUCUCACAAUACAAUUUCACACUUCUCUCUACACUUCUCUCUAAACUAAUAUUCUCUCAUAUCAUGUCAAAACUAUUCACACAAACCACCGAAAAUUUGAUCUGAAGAUUCUGAACCGGCGGCGGCGACCACUCCAGCCACCACCACUGUCCAUGACCGCGCGAGAUCUCCUCUCAGUCUCCUAUCUCUGCGAUUUUUCAGUGCGAUUUCUCCAUUUUUCUCUGCGAUUUUGUUGUGCGAAUUUCUCAGAUUUCUGUGCGAUUUCUCUCCCUAUUCAUCACCACAACCCUUCCUCACGAAGAUUCAGACAACAUUAGCAAGCCAAAAUGAUUUGUCCUGACCAUGAAGGUGCGGAAGAAGAAAAGCAACAACUCCAUCAAUUUUCCAUUUACAUUCUAUUUAAUUUGAGUGAAAAGUAGCAACUUGAAUUUUUGCAGAUGAGAAACAGGAUUAGUGGUGGGAAGAUGAUGUUGAGAGAUGAAAAGUUUUGAAUACGCUUUCCUUUGUUCUAUCAAUUUUAGCAAUAUGUAUUCUGAUCCCAAGUGGGAAUGGGAUGGUAAGCAGGCUGGUGUUCUGGUUAAUAGCUUUGUUUUUCAUUUCAUAAAUGCUUUCUUUGCAAUGGAUAACCCCGGAAAAUGUAGAAUCCUCUCUAGUUUGUAUACCUGUCCUUUUCAUUUUUACUUUAAUUCAGACUAGCCAAUUCAAUGUACCUAAUUGGAAGCGCAGUGUUAAGAACCUGAGGAUGCAAUAAGAGAAACAGCAAUGAAGGUUGUGGGUCAGAGAUAGAUUAGUACAAUCAUUAAUGAGAUCCGCAACUCAAACAACCACCGGCCAAAUUCAUUGGUUCUCAUUGUUAUAGUUUGUUUUGUUUAUGUUUAUCUUUCUAUAGAUUUUGUUGAUUUGAUUGUUUAUGUUUGAAUCCAUGACCUAUUUAUGUACUAUUUUUCCAUUGAA